rnacentral:ncRNA from 2 species
GUUGAUGGCGGCGAUGAAGCUCGCCAUGAACCGCCGCCCCGGCUGAUGGCUUCUACCACGUG